GGCCGCCUCGGGCGAGUACGUGUGCCGCGUGGGCUCGGGCAGCAGCACCCGCGAGGCCACCGUCGCUGUCACCGUCUCCUCCCGUGACGGCUCCAGCUACCGCCUGCAGAGCCCCAUCAUCUCCAUCGACCCGCACAGCAUGGCCGUGGCCCAGGGCGAGGACGCCACCUUCAAGUGCCGCAUCCACGAUGGCGCCCGGCCCAUCAACAUCACCUGGCGCAUGGGGCCUGGCCAGCACUUCCAAGACAAUGUCAAGAUCAGCCCCAACGGCUCGGUGAUCUCCAUCGCCGCUGCCCACGCCGGCAACCAGGGGGC